AUAUAACUAGGCGGAGGAAAAGAAACUAACCAGGAUUCCCUUAGUAACGGCGAGUGAAGCGGGAACAGCUCAGAGCGAAAAUCUUCGGAAUUGUGCUCUAGAGAAGCCGAAUCGACUCUUGCAGCGGGCAAAGUCUCCUGGAAUGGAGCGCCAUGGAGGGUGACAGCCCCGUUCGUGCCUGCUGGGCGGAGUGCUUGAUCGGUUUUCAACGAGUCGAGUUGUUUGGGAUUGCAGCUCUAAGCGGGUGGUAAAUUCCAUCUAAAGCUAAAUAUUGGUGGGAGACCGAUAGCGCACAAGUA
rnacentral:rRNA from 1 species